GACAGAGGCCUCGAGCGUUAGGCGGAAUCACUGGGCUUAAAGCGCGCGCAGGCGGUCCUUUAAGUCUGAUGUGAAAGCCCACGGCUCAACCGUGGAGGGUCAUUGGAAACUGGGGGACUUGAGUACAGAAGAGAAGAGUGGAAUUCCACGUGUAGCGGUGAAAUGCGUAGAGAUGUGGAGGAAUACCGGAGGCGAAGGCGGCUCACUGGGGGUCUUCUGACGCUGAGGAACGAAAGCCAGGGGAGCGAACGGG
rnacentral:rRNA from 1 species